rnacentral:rRNA from 1 species
CAAUAGCGUAUAUUUAAGUUGUUGCAGUUAAAAAGCUCGUAGUUGGAUUUCGGAUGGGACUUGCCGGUCCGUCGUUUCGAUGUGCACUGGCCAGUCCUAUCUUGUUGUCGGGGACUAGCUCCUGGGCUUCACUGUCCGGGACUAGGAGCUGACGAGGUUACUUUGAGUAAAUUAGAGUGUUCAAAGCAAGACUACGCUCUGAAUACAUUAGCAUGGAAUAACACGAUAGGACUCUGGCUUAUCUUGUUGGUCUGUGAGACCAGAGUAAUGAUUAAGAGGGACAGUCGGGGGCAUUCGUAUUUCAUUGUCAGAGGUGAAAUUCUUGGAUUUAUGAAAGACGAACUUCUGCGAAAGCAUUUGUCAAGGAUGUUUUCAUUAA